rnacentral:lncRNA from 1 species
CCAACAGGUGGAAUGGGCAGAGAGGAUGUCUCUGACAAGGACUGAGAACUAGAUGAAAAGGGAGAACAACCCUGUGGUACCUAGGGGGACAGAAAAACACACUCUGCAGGAUGAAGAGGGAGCUGAGAACCUUCUACAACUAUAGAAAAGAAGGAUACAGACCAAACAGGAAGAGACUUCACAGGUAGCCUAGCAUGUCAUCUUGGGAGCUUGGAAGGCCACCAUACUGAGUCUUCAAAGUUUAUGAGAGGGUUGUGACUCCCCCACAUCCUGGGUGUGUGCAGAAUGGGUUACAGCGGGGGCAGAAAGAGAGACGUGGAAAACACACUAGCAGAUGAAAUGGUGAUUGAUUGAUUGAUCAGAAGCCCAGAAGGAGGUGACCUGAGCAAGCUAGCACCUCACCAGCCCGGAUGGAAAGAUGGAAACAGUGGUAUUUAAUAGACGGGAGACCUGAGGCGAAUUUGAGAAGCAAGCCAACAAGAUUUACUGACAGGAAGAUCAUCAAAGCUGCGGUCCCCACCAGCAGCUCCUGACAUUCCUGAGGAAACCUCCUUCCUUCCCUUUGGCCUCUUGUGGCUACACACAGUCACUCACUGACCCUGGCACACACUGUAGGUCCUCAGUAGGAAACCAAGCUAAUCUCUCUCUCUAAGGGUUUUUUUUUUUUUUUUUUUUUUUUUUUUUUUUGCCAUUUUGAAUCUUCCAGGAGAGCCUAUCUUGCUUAUUCUUGUAGCUAAUCCCAGCCCCUUGCACCGUGCCUUCCCCAUAAAGAGAUGUGAAUGAACCACUGCUCCACCGGUGAGCAAGUGGGGGAGAACGGGAAACAGCUCCAAGUUGCACUUACAGAAGACUAAGUACUGACAGGAAGCGCUGGUUGGAGAGUAACUGACCACCCUGGGAGAGCAGCCACUGAGAGGAACAAAGACACCUUUCACCCUGCAGGAUUUCAGUCAUUCAUGACUCAGCACCGGGAGGGAAGCCAGACACAGUGCAGCAGGAUCCUAGCCCUGAAUGGGGAUAGAUCGGUAGCCCAGCCCCACUAACAAGAAAGGAUACAAAAAGGAUACAAAGGCAUACAGGUGAAAGGGACUCCAUACACCAUCCCAGCACCGUGCCCCAGCCCAUUUGAAAACCCGUUAUGGGGCAGAUCAUGGCUGCUUCCACACUCAACAGCAGCGACUAGUUACCUGGGAAGCCUUGCUUGGCUGCAACUUCAAAGAAAACGCCACGCAAACAAGAGUGAUUUUACAUUGCUUUCCUAUCAUACAUUGUUCCAAGCCCAUCCUAAGGGGGUGCUCGGAAUCCAGUAACGAUCACACGAUUGCCAACUAACCUCUCCUCAGCAGCCUCACACUGAUGGUGGGGGUACAAGCUAGCCACACACCGAAGGUAUUUACGGCGUGCCUAUACUGUUGAGUGACAGUCACAUUCUUCUUAAGGAUUAAGCCUCAUCAACCAUUUCAAAGCCAUCUUGGGUUUACUCUGGCACCGAGAGACGGAGACAGAAAUCAACAUCAUCUCGUUACGUGAUCAUCUUUGGCAAGAGACGACAUGAUUUCGCCUUCACAGGAAGGAAUGUUGCCUGUGUGGAGCAAAUCAGGCCCAGUGAACCUGUUCACCUACCAACCCCUCCGCCACUCGAGUGAGUCAGAGGGAGACGGCCAUGUUGGUUCCUCUGGCUGGGUUUGGCAUUAGAUAAGCAGGUACAGAAGUGUCUGGGGUCUUUGAUGUAUCUAGAUACAAAUGACCGGGAAGUUCCUCUCCUUGGAUGAUCUGGAGCACACAGGAAAUCUCGGGAGGAAGGAGGCUGCCUCUAUGCUGUCCCCAACUGGGGUGAAGUCACUGUGGCCAGCCAUAAGUGCUCUUAGAAUUUGUCUUUUGGUCAUCACAACAGUGAUGGAGAGAAAGCCUCUCUCCUGGUGGCCUAGCGGGAGGCUUGUGAUUGGUCCCAAACAUGAAGGCGAGAGAGGCCAGGAUGAGAAGUAGACAGAGGAACAGAAAGCUGUGGAGAGCCAGACAUGUAUGCUCAUGUCUUCAAAAGAGGGUCCUUGGAUUGAGAUUUCCAGACAUAAUGUAAACUAGAUGUGUGAGGAGUGGACUGACCCUUCCUGCGGGCGCUGUAUUCCCAGUAGAGGGGGAGAAGGCACUGCAGAGGCCUCCGAAGUCCAGAGAAGGAAUGAAGCUGGGAGAUUAACCAUUUGCCAAGCUGUGUUUUUUUCUAAUCUAUUUUUGGGUUCUGCUGAGCAGAAAGCCCCUGCACUUUCUGAACCUGGACUCUGAACAUCCUCUGUCUAGUUUACUAUAAAAAGAAAAUUCUUUAAUAAUAAUAAAAAAAAAU